CCGCGCCGGACCGUGUACAAGUCUCCUGGAAGGGAGCAUCGUAGAGGGUGACAAUCCCGUCUCUGACACGGAUCCCCGGUGCUAUGUGAUGCGCUCUCGACGAGUCGAGUUGUUUGGGAAUGCAGCUCAAAUCGGGUGGUAAACUCCAUCUAAAGCUAAAUACAGGCGAGAGACCGAUAGCGAACAAGUACCGUGAGGGAAAGAUGAAAAGAACUUUGGAAAGAGAGUUAAACAGUACGUGAAAUUGCUGGAAGGGAAACGCUUGACGUCAGUCGCGUCGUCCGGGGAUCAACCUCGCUUUUCGCUGGGCGUAUUUCCCGGUCGACGGGUCAGCAUCGAUUUCGACCGUCGUAGAAGGACGCGAGUGAAUGUGGCACUCCACGGGGUGUGUUAUAGCCUCGCGUAUGGAUGCGAUGGUCGGGAUCGAGGAACUCGGCACGACCCCUCGAGGGUUCGGGGCUUCGGUCCACGCGCGUGCCCAGGAUGCUGGCGUAAUGGCUUUAAGCGACCCGUCUUGAAACACGGACCAAGGAGUCUAACGUGCCUGCGAGUGUUCGGGUGCAAAACCCGAGCGCGCAACGAAAGUGAAAGUCGAGACCUCCGUCGUGGAGGGCACCGACGCCCGGACCGGAGCCUUUGGCGAUGGAUCUGCGGUAGAGCAUGUAUGUUGGGACCCGAA
rnacentral:rRNA from 1 species